AUUGAACGCUGGCGGCAUGCCUAACACAUGCAAGUCGAACGGUAACAGGCAACAGCUUGCUGUUUCGCUGCCGAGGGGCGGACGGGAGAGCAGUGCCUGGCCGACUGCCGGAUGGAGGGGGGCAACUACUGGAAUCGGUCGCCAAUCCCGCUUCACGUCACAAGAGGAAACAGCAGGACCUUCCGGGCUCUUGCCGUCAGAUGUGCCCAGAUGGGAUUAGCUAGUUGGUGGGGUAACGGCUCACCGAGCCGACGAUCCGUAGCUGGUCUGAGAGGAUGACCAGCCACACUGGAACUGAGACACGGUCCAGACUCCUACGGGAGGCAGCAGUGGGGAAUAUUGGACAAUGGGCGCAAGCCUGAUGCAGCCAUGCCGCGUGUAUGAUGAAGGCCUUCGGGUUGUAAACUGCUUUUGGCGGGAAGGAAAAGACUAAAGUUAAUACCGGUGCGUAUUGACGUUACCGGAAGAAGAAGCACCGGCUAACUACGUG
rnacentral:rRNA from 1 species